rnacentral:rRNA from 1 species
AGCGAACGCUGGCGGCAGGCUUAACACAUGCAAGUCGAACGGUAACAGGGAGCUUGCUCCGCUGACGAGUGGCGAACGGGUGAGUAAUAUAUCGGAACGUGCCCUAGAGUGGGGGAUAACUAGUCGAAAGAUUAGCUAAUACCGCAUACGAUCUAAGGAUGAAAGUGGGGGAUCGCAAGACCUCAUGCUCGUGGAGCGGC